CUGAAAUCACACCAUAACACAUGUGAAAAGCGCUAUGAGGUGGCGCAGGCAGAGAGACAAGAGGAGGAGAGGAAGAGGACUAUGGUUCUACUUCGUCAGCGGGAUACAGCAGUUCUUCACAGAGAAGAAAGUGGUCAGAGGAGGAGGUCACGGCGGUGGAGAAGACGCUGAAUGCCUUUAUAAGGUCUAGGAAAGUCCCUGGAAAAGAUGAGUGUGAAAAAUGUAUCAAGGCGUCUCCACAGGCUCUGCAGGGAAGGAGCUGGACAGCAGUAAAAUUCUAUGUGAAGAACAGAAUCGAUGCUGACAAAAGAAAGAAAUAAGCUGCUGCUGAGUUCUCAAAGCACUUUAUUGUUAGUCAGAGUCUAAGCUAAAUUAGUAGCAAAUUAAAAUGCUCAAAGUUUGUAUUUCAUUCAGAUUAUGAUUUUAUGUUAAACUCUUCAUUGAAUGAGUUGCUGUUAAAGCUAGAGAGAAUUUGUGCAUUUGACUCUGACAUGUUGGAACAGUGUAUGCAUUUUCAUGUUUUAAUGCAUCUGUUGGUUAAAUAAACCACAUCUCAUUACA